rnacentral:rRNA from 1 species
CUAGCGUUGUUCGGAAUUACUGGGCGUAAAGCGCGCGUAGGCGGUGAUCUUUGUCAGAGGUGAAAGCCCGGGGCUCAACUCCGGAAUUGCCUUUGAAACGGGAUUGCUUGAGUCCGAGAGAGGAUGGCGGAAUUCCUAGUGUAGAGGUGAAAUUCGUAGAUAUUAGGAAGAACACCGGUGGCGAAGGCGGCCAUCUGGCUCGGUACUGACGCUCAGGCGCGAAAGCGUGGGGAGCAAACAGG